rnacentral:rRNA from 1 species
AUUGAACGCUGGCGGCAGGCCUAACACAUGCAAGUCGAGCGAGCGGCGGACGGGUGCGUACUGUAUGGGGACUGCCCGCUACCGGGGGAUAAGUACUGGAAAACGCAUCUAAUACCGCAUACUAUCGGAUAACCCAUAUGGGAUUAGCUAGUCGGUGAGGUAAUGGCUCACCUAGGCGACGAUCCCUCGCUGGUCUGAGAGGUUGAUCAGCCACACUGGGACUGAGACACGGCCCAGACUCCUACGGAGGCAGCAGUGGGGAAUAUUGCACAAUGGGCGCAAGCCUGAUGGAGCCAUGCCGCGUGUAUGAAGAAGGCCUUAGGGUUGUAAAGUACUUUCAGUCGGGAGGCGUUAACGACAGAAGAAGCACCGGCUAACUACGUGCCAGCAGCCGCGGUAAUUC